UAAUGACAUCACCCAUUUGAAUCUCUUACUGCCUAAACUGCAUGUCUGUGUUCUGCUAUUACUAUUGCAUCUUUUUAUAGUGUCGGUCAUUCAUUUAUUUACAUUCAUAUGUAUACAUUUCUCAUAAUUAUUAAGAGAGACACAAGGGCCAGUGAAGCUGAUCCUGAUUCUUAAAUGUCCUCUAGCUUCACCUGAGAGGAGGGCGUCUGCUGUGCGCGGACCCCACAAGAAAGAUGGUGGUACAUCUGAUGAAGAGGCUCGACAAGAGAGACAGACACGUUCACGCCAAACUCAAGACGCCUUACAGAAGCUAAAGGGACAUCGACCCGCUGCAGCGGCCCCAGGCCGUCUUUCAUCUGCCAAAUCGUAUUGUUGAGCAACGCACGGUUCUAUAAAGGUUUCCUGGUGUCUUUCUGGAAGGCGAUCGAGGUGGUUGGUGAUGGAAAUCUCGUAGCAUUACUUUUGCUUUCACUCUGCACUGAGAUAAAGGUCAAAGCCUACAACGAACGUCUGAUACCGACUGGCCACCACAUGAAUCCAUAAAUGCCUUCGGUGACACGGCUGCUUCAUGACGAUGUUUCUUUUUCUCGACUUUUAAGACACACGGUUCCAAUAAGCUGUUUAAAUAAUGUGAUAGGGUGUAAAUGAUCAUAUUAAACAUGUUAAUGUUUGUUAAUUUGCAGACACAAAUUAUUGAACAUGAAUAUCCCUGAAAAUUUGUGUCAUUGAAAUAGAUAACUCUUCAAUUUUUUCUAAAUAUUUUUAAUGUCUGUCUUUUCGUACAUUGUUCAUAUAAAUACAUUUUAACAAUAAAAUUGCUUAUUGCUUCACUCUC